CCCCUCUCAGGGUCACACUGGAGAGUUUCCAGUCCUCUGCCAGUCACGAUUACAGGAGGGAGAGUCAAGCAGAGGCCUGUCCAUUCCAUUCUUAGCUUGGGCAGUGGCUAGCGAGUGGAAGGCCAUCUGCUACAAGU
rfam:Ornithorhynchus anatinus chromosome X1, whole genome shotgun sequence.